UAGGGAAUAUUGCGCAAUGGGGGAAACCCUGACGCAGCAAUGCCGCGUGAGUGAGGAAGGCCUUCGGGUUGUAAAGCUCUGUCCUUAGGGAAAAAUGAGUUUGUAUCUAAUAGGUGCAGACUUUGAUGGUACCUGAGAAGAAAGCACCGGCUAACUUCGUGCCAGCAGCCGCGGUAAUACGAAGGGUGCAAGCGUUGUUCGGAUUUAUUGGGCGUAAAGCGUGCGCAGGCGGAUUUGUAAGUCAGGUGUGAAAUCUCGAGGCUUAACCUCGAAAUUGCGCCUGAAACUGUGAGUCUAGAAUGUCGGAGAGGGAAGGGGAAUAUCUCAUGUAGGGGUAAAAUCCGUAGAGAUGAGAUGGAACACCAGAGGCGAAGGCGCCUUCCUGGACGACUAUUGACGC
rnacentral:rRNA from 1 species